rnacentral:rRNA from 1 species
UACGGAGGAUGCAAGCGUUAUCCGGAUUUAUUGGGCGUAAAGCGUCCGCAGGUGGUUGUUCAAGUCUGCUGUUAAAGCGCGAGGCUUAACCUUGUACAGGCAGUGGAAACUGAGCGACUAGAGUAUGGUAGGGGUAGCGGGAAUUCCCAGUGUAGCGGUGAAAUGCGUAGAUAUUGGGAAGAACACCGGUGGCGAAGGCGGCUCACUGGCUCAUUACUGACGCUCAGGCGCGAUAGCGUGGGGAUCAAACAGG